UUAAGCCCGAUGAACCUGAAUAUCCGUUAUAGGAAAUUCAUCAUUAUGAUUUUAAUAUUUAUAAUAUUAUAAUAAUGGUGUGCAUUUUUUCUAUAAAAGGACAUUGUAAUCUAUUAACAAAAAUUAAAUUUAUCAUAAGAUCAUUUGCGCAAGUUUAUUCAAAUUAUUUUGUUUGCAAUUUAAUAUCGAGUAAAUGCAAUAGAUUUGAUAAAGUGUUGAUAGAUUCAUAAUAUAUAGUGCUUAAAUAUUUUUUAAAUAUUUUAUAAUAGCAUAUAAAUCAUUGAUUUGUUUUGUUUAUUAUAUGCACUUAUAUGAUUAACAAUGCGAAAGAUUCAGGAUACCUUCGGGACCCGUCUUGAAACACGGACCAAGGAGUCUAACAUAUUUGCAAGUUAUUGGGAUACAAAAACCUAAUAGCGAAAUUAACAUAACUUUUUAUUAAUGGGAUUAGUUUUUAGCCUUAUUUUAUAAGUCUAUUAAUUCAAUCCCGGGGCGUUCUAUACAGUUAUGUAUAAUAGUAUUUAUAUUAUUUAUACCUCUAACUAGAGCGUACCUUGAGCAUAUAUGCUGU
rnacentral:rRNA from 1 species